rnacentral:rRNA from 1 species
UACAGAGGGUGCAAGCGUUGUUCGGAAUUAUUGGGCGUAAAGCGCGUGUAGGCGGAUUUGUAAGUCAGGGGUGAAAUCCCGGGGCUCAACCUCGGAACUGCCUUUGAUACUGCAAAUCUCGAGUCCGGAAGAGGUGAGUGGAAUUCCUAGUGUAGAGGUGAAAUUCGUAGAUAUCAGGAGGAACACCGGUGGCGAAGGCGGGUCUCUGGGCCGAUACUGACGCUGAGGUGCGAAAGCGUGGGGAGCAAACAGG